rnacentral:rRNA from 1 species
GACGAACGCUGGCGGCGUGCUUAACACAUGCAAGUCGAACGGAAAGGCCCUGCUUUUGUGGGGUGCUCGAGUGGCGAACGGGUGAGUAACACGUGAGUAACCUGCCCUUGACUUUGGGAUAACUUCAGGAAACUGGGGCUAAUACCGGAUAGGAGCUCCUGCUGCAUGGUGGGGGUUGGAAAGUUUCGGCGGUUGGGGAUGGACUCGCGGCUUAUCAGCUUGUUGGUGGGGUAGUGGCUUACCAAGGCUUUGACGGGUAGCCGGCCUGAGAGGGUGACCGGCCACAUUGGGACUGAGAUACGGCCCAGACUCCUACGGGAGGCGGCAGUGGGGAAUAUUGCACAAUGGGCGGAAGCCUGAUGCAGCAACGCCGCGUGCGGGAUGACGGCCUUCGGGUUGUAAACCGCUUUCGCCUGUGACGAAGCGUGAGUGACGGUAAUGGGUAAAGAAGCACCGGCUCACUACGUGCCAGCAGCCGCGGUGAUACGUAGGGUGCGAGCGUUGUCCGGAUUUAUUGGGCGUAAAGGGCUCGUAGGUGGUUGAUCGCGUCGGAAGUGUAAUCUUGGGGCUUAACCCUGAGCGUGCUUUCGAUACGGGUUGACUUGAGGAAGGUAGGGGAGAAUGGAAUUCCUGGUGGAGCGGUGGAAUGCGCAGAUAUCAGGAGGAACACCAGUGGCGAAGGCGGUUCUCUGGGCCUUUCCUGACGCUGAGGAGCGAAAGCGUGGGGAGCGAACAGGCUUAGAUACCCUGGUAGUCCACGCUGUAAACGGUGGGUACUAGGUGUGGGGUCCAUUCCACGGGUUCCGUGCCGUAGCUAACGCUUUAAGUACCCCGCCUGGGGAGUACGGCCGCAAGGCUAAAACUCAAAGGAAUUGACGGGGCCCCGCACAAGCGGCGGAGCAUGCGGAUUAAUUCGAUGCAACGCGUAGAACCUUACCUGGGUUUGACAUGGAUCGGGAGUGCUCAGAGAUGGGUGUGCCUCUUUUGGGGUCGGUUCACAGGUGGUGCAUGCCUGUCGUCAGCUCGUGUCGUGAGAUGUUGGGUUAAGUCCCGCAACGAGCGCAACCCUUGUUCACUGUUGCCAGCACGUUAUGGUGGGGACUCAGUGGAGACCGCCGGGGUCAACUCGGAGGAAGGUGGGGAUGACGUCAAGUCCUCAUGCCCCUUAUGUCCAGGGCUUCACGCAUGCUACAAUGGCUGGUACAGAGAGUGGCGAGCCUGUGAGGGUGAGCGAAUCUCGGAAAGCCGGUCUCAGUUCGGAUUGGGGUCUGCAACUCGACCUCAUGAAGUCGGAGCCGCUAGUAAUCGCAGAUCAGCAACGCUGCGGUGAAUACGUUCCCGGGGCU